GACGAACGCUGGCGGCGCGCCUAACACAUGCAAGUCGAACGAGCGAGAGAGAGCUUGCUUUCUUGAGCGAGUGGCGAACGGGUGAGUAACGCGUGAGGAACCUGCCUCAAAGAGGGGGACAACAGUUGGAAACGACUGCUAAUACCGCAUAAGCCCACGGUGCCGCAUGGCACAGAGGGAAAAGGAGCAAUCCGCUUUGAGAUGGCCUCGCGUCCGAUUAGCUAGUUGGUGAGGUAACGGCCCACCAAGGCGACGAUCGGUAGCCGGACUGAGAGGUUGAACGGCCACAUUGGGACUGAGACACGGCCCAGACUCCUACGGGAGGCAGCAGUGGGGAAUAUUGCACAAUGGGGGAAACCCUGAUGCAGCGACGCCGCGUGGAGGAAGAAGGUCUUCGGAUUGUAAACUCCUGUUGUUGGGGAAGAUAAUGACGGUACCCAACAAGGAAGAGACGGCUAACUACGUG
rnacentral:rRNA from 1 species